rnacentral:rRNA from 1 species
CUACGUGCCAGCAGCCGCGGUAAUACGUAUGCCACAAGCGUUAUCCGGAUUUAUUGGGCGUAAAGCGCGUCUAGGUGGUUAUGUAAGUYUGAUGUGAAAAUGCAGGGCUCAACUCUGUAUUGCGUUGGAAACUGCAUGACUAGAGUACUGGAGAGGUAAGCGGAACUACAAGUGUAGAGGUGAAAUUCGUAGAUAUUUGUAGGAAUGCCGAUGGGGAAGCCAGCUUACUGGACAGAUACUGACGCUAAAGCGCGAAAGCGUGGGUAGCAAACAGGAUUAGAUACCCUGGUAGUCCACGCCGUAAACGAUGAUUACUAGGUGUUGGGGGUCGAACCUCAGCGCCCAAGCUAACGCGAUAAGUAAUCCGCCUGGGGAGUACGUACGCAAGUAUGAAACUCAAAGGAAUUGACGGGGACCCGCACAAGCGGUGGAGCAUGUGGUUUAAUUCGACGCAACGCGAGGAACCUUACCAGCGUUUGAC